rnacentral:rRNA from 1 species
GACGAACGCUGGCGGCGUGCUUAACACAUGCAAGUCGAACGGAAAGGCCCUGCUUUUGUGGGGUGCUCGAGUGGCGAACGGGUGAGUAACACGUGAGUAACCUGCCCUUGACUUUGGGAUAACUUCAGGAAACUGGGGCUAAUACCGGAUAGGAGCUCCUGCUGCAUGGUGGGGGUUGGAAAGUUUCGGCGGUUGGGGAUGGACUCGCGGCUUAUCAGCUUGUUGGUGGGGUAGUGGCUUACCAAGGCUUUGACGGGUAGCCGGCCUGAGAGGGUGACCGGCCACAUUGGGACUGAGGUACGGCCCAGACUCCUACGGGAGGCAGCAGUGGGGAAUAUUGCACAAUGGGCGGAAGCCUGAUGCAGCAACGCCGCGUGCGGGAUGACGGCCUUCGGGUUGUAAACCGCUUUCGCCUGUGACGAAGCGUGAGUGACGGUAAUGGGGAAAGAAGCACCGGCUAACUACGU